rnacentral:sRNA from 1 species
UGUACUUAUUGUUAGGUGAGGCUCCUAUAUGGAUACACGCUGCUACCCGGAAACAUCGAGAGAUGCCAAUGGGUUAACAAAUACUACCGUCUUAAGGUUUUAUUUAACGCAGCUAAUGAUUGACGCCGUAUAGUGCUAAAACUCAACGAUAUAUUUUAGUU